UCAAGGUCGGCCAGUGAGACGAUGGGGGAUAAGCUUCAUCGUCGAUCGGGCCAAAGGGAAAUCGCAGCAGCCAUACCCCAUGCAGGAGCCGAUGGUGGCCGACGUGUAGCAUGGGUCCGAGCUCGGCGUGUCCAUGUACAUGCGGCUUCCCAGCCUGGCCUCCACGCUUGUGCCGACCCCAACGAGAAGGUUGCGCUUCGUCGACAGGUUAAUGGGCAGCACGGUCAUGGACGGCCCGACCACGGUCAGCUGGCGGUUGAGCACCUGCUCGCCGGCGGAUUUGCUGCAGUAGGACGAGACCGUGCCGUACGCCCAGGCCUCGUUCCGUGGGAGGGCGAUCUCGACCAGCCUGGCCUCACUCGUCUUCUGGUACGUCGUGUUGGUGGAGGCGAGGAAGGCGCGGGCGCCGUUGCAGCUCACCUGGUACCUGUAGUCGAGGGAGCAGCCGGGGCCGAUGCCGAACGGGAAGGGGAUGCUCAUGUUGCCGCACUUGUCCUGGCAUCCCGGGUGUGCCAUGGGCGGCUGCGGCCAGGAUGAAGAUGAACGCGGCCAGCCAUACAACCUCGGGGUAAAACCGUGAGCAGCUGGGCGUGGCCAUGGUGUUCGUUGUACGGAGUAUGGAUGGAUGCACCAAAGUCCUACCCAUCGGGCAAUGACCUGCUCAUUUAGCGGAUCAAAAUCAGACCUUCUGGGCUGCAUGACACUACGAAGAAGGCGGGCCAGAUGGCCUAAUAGAGGUGGCUUCAUGGCGUUGCCCACGGCAACAUCCUCAGUGGCAGCAUGCCCCGCGAUCGCGGCACCCAU
rnacentral:rRNA from 1 species